UUGCUCGCUUCGGCAGCACAUAUACUAAAAUUUGACCGAUACAGAGAAAAUUACAUGGCCCCUGCGCAAGGUAGACACGCAAUUCCUGAAGCGUUCAUUAUUUUU
rnacentral:snRNA from 1 species